CUCUUCUCCUUCGCGAAACGUCGACGGUGCGAUCUCCCUCGGCCAUGACAUUGUAUCAUCCUUCCUUUUCGGUUAACAGCGCGACGGCGUCACUAUCUUCUACGAUGAGUACUCCGCCACUCCCUCAGUUCCGAUCUUGUCUCGAUUUCUCUCGGUCUCUACUUUCGCGGAUCUCCCCCAAUCUGUUCUCCGAUCAAAACUCCUUCGCUGCGACCUCACGUUGUUCUCCUGAGACCGUCGUGUUUCUUGGAUUGAGGUUCAGAAUCGUUGCGAUGAAGGUGACUUAGGUUGGUGAUUGAAGAUGAAGGUUAUGAUGAAGAUUGAAGCAAGGUUGAAGGUUCUGUGGCGGCGGGAUUUGGAGUGUUCUUGUCGACGAACAGAUGAAGAAUGGUGGUGGUGAUAUGAAGAACUAAAGAAUUCUUGAAUCGGUAGCGAUGAUGAUGAAGAUUGGAGAUGAAGGAGAUUGUUGUAUGAUUGUGUGUGUCAAGAGAGUGAAGAGAAGGAGAUGGUCUGAAGCAGAGAAAUGGUGGAGAAUGGUGAAUUGAAGAUGGUUAUGGAAGUGAAGGGAGAGUGAAAGUGAAGAGGAUAAAAAUGGUGGAGAGACUGAAUUGUGGAGGGAAGCACGGUUUAAAUAGAUUGAGAAGGGAAUACAUGGGCCGUUAGAUCUUAGAGAUUCUGUUAGGAAUUGAAGGAUGCAGGCUAGAAAUUGUGGCUGGCUGCAAAUGAAAUUGAAGCAUGGCUUGGCAAUGUAUUAUAUGUGAAGACAAGAUGACCAUGGAAGCAAGAUGAUGAAGACGGAAUCGUGGUGGUGGCAGCCUUUUGGUUCGGACCGGUUUAUGCUUCUUGUUUGCAGGAUGGCUCCAUGUCUCAGUUUAUUUGCAGGAGCCUUUUUGUUGUAAUUUUUCUUGUAAUGUACACUUGGAUUUGGAUUUGUAAUGGAUAGAAGCUUGAAUAUUAAAUAAUGGGCUUUGAAAUCAU